GUGGCUAUCGCGGCGGGGUCCCACCUCUUCCCAUUCCGAACAGAGAAGUUAAGCCCGCCGGCGCCGAUGGUACUGCGUAUAGUGGGAGAGUAGGUCGCCGCCGUCU
rnacentral:rRNA from 1 species